GCCGUGUCUGGGUGUGCCCGGGCUGGGGGAUGUUCACUGAGGCGGUGUCUGGGUGUGCCCGGGCUGGGGGAUGUUCACUGGGGCCGUGUCAGUGUGUGCCCGGGCCGGGGGAUGUUCACUGGGGCCGGGUCAGUGUGUGGCCAGUCCGGGGGAUGUUCACUGGGGCGGUGUCAGUGUGUGCCCGGAGCGGGGGAUGUUCACUGGGGCGGUGUCAGUGUGUGCCCGGAGCGGGGGAUGUUCACUGGGGCGGUGUCUGGGUGUGCCCGGAGCGGGGGAUGUUCGAUGCCCACCCGCAUCCUCUGUAGGGUCUGUCCCUUUUCCUUGGGGUGGUGUGUGAGGAACUCAGCUUGGCGCAGUGGUGCUUCCAGCAAGCAUUUUGCCUCUUGCAGAUCUGGAGCUCUUGUUCCCGAGACAGAACCGAGGCAUCCCGGCGUGGGGCAGUAGCCUGGUGUAAUCACCCCGCACGCCCGGAAAACGGACCCGAGCUGAGGGAUUAUGUUGGAACAAGCUGGGUUCUGGCUAUAAUGAACUAGAACGGCCCAGCUCUGUCAGGAGGACUGGCGUUGCUUUGUGUGUGUAACAGAGAACAAGGACAAUAAUCCCAAACCAGAAUGUGUGUAUGGGGAAGAACAUGAAAAACUAGGCCUUGAUACCUUUGACGCAGUGCUUUUCAUACACAAAAGAAGAACUGAAACAGUGAAGGCCAAGUACCUCAUAAGUCUGUCGACAGUCUUUUGGAAUUGCCAGAUGGCUUCCAGAAGGACACACUGGGAUUGAAUGCCUCUUCCCAUGCUCCCAGUGGUGAUGGAGGCCCCACAGGAUAGUGCUCCUCUUUAUUUUGCUCUGUCAGUAUAUCCUGUGCUCACGACACAGCGCAAACGGAAGCCAGCGUGCCGUGAGUGCACUGUCUGUGGCAGUCUGCACUGGGCGUACUUCUGUCACAGAGCUUGGAAAGAAAUGCUUGUGCAAAAGCCAGAACAUUGUUGCUGUUGCUGCUGCUGCUGCUGCUGCUGUGUCUGAUGAUACCCCAUAUUUCCUUGCUGUGGUUACAGGAUGCUUAAAAAUUACUACUGGUUUGCUGGCUUUUAUUUCUGGAGCUGUUUGGCAUGAGGUUAGCUUAUCUAAUACUGGAAGGAACGGACAUAAAUUGCAACAAAGAACAUUCCAAUUAGGCAUUG